rnacentral:lncRNA from 1 species
UUCCAGCGGCGGCAAGAACCUGAUCAUGGAGGCCCACAAGAAGGUCGUCGACUACCACAUCAGCAUCAACGCUUCCAUCCCCGAGCCCUACGCCUCCACCUACCCCAGCCAGGUAAGCACGCAGCAGCCGCUCACCCGCCGGCCGCCGCGCCACGCACUCCGCCCACAGUCAGAUGGCGCCCCCCAAUUAAGCAACCGGCAACGCUUCCCCAUGCCACGGACCGUGCUGCACCCGCAUAACAUAGCGUGCUAUGCCGCGUCCAUCACCGUCACCCUAACGCCGAUGCCACACCCACACGCCUCUUCCUCUCCCGCCCCACCCGGGUCCUAUCGGCCAUUCCUCACCCCUCCCGCCUCACCCCUCCCGCCCCACCCCGGUCUCUCCCCGCCCCUCCCGCAGGCUGUCGUCGUGGUGUGGGACCCCCAGAUCCAGUGGACCGGCGGCGCCUGGCACUCGUACAAGAACGGCAUCUACGGCAGCCAGGUGUCCACCAACUACACCGACCCCCGCAACGCCGUGCCUGUGGCCUCCAUCAAGCCCUUCGCCGGCGAGAACGUCUGGGUGGCCAACGAGGCCUUCUCCGCUGUGCAGGGCUGGGCUGAGGGCUCCCUGAUCAUGGGUGAGUCCCGCCGCAAUCCUGCGUGCUCUUGCUGUUGCGACAGGAGUGUCACGGGCGAUGUGACUGCCGUACAUGAUACUGUAUGUGGUGGAUUGGUGAUGGGCCUGGGUGUGGUAGCUUUGGGGUUAUCGUGUGCGGGGACCUACGCCAUCCCAGCGUGCUGCACUGGUAGGUGUUGACGGCUCGUAUCCCCUGCUGUGCCCGCCUGGUGCGCAG